UGGGCCGGGAAUUAUAUAAGAAUCCUUAGCAGCAUGAGUGCCAGCCAGUCAUUGCUGUUCUUUGCAUUGCUGAGGAGGACAGUCCUGCCAACAUAACAGUUUGUUCAAUAACAGGAGACAAACAGAAACACAGAGGUGCUAUACAUUCCGAUGGAAAAGACAACAAAAGCAUCUCCCAUCAUUUUGGCGUGGCUCAGAUCAAGAGGAGAAUUU